GCCCACUUUCGUAUACACAAACUUCACAUUUUUUCUAUCAAUACAAAUUAUUUACACACGUAGCAAUACGACAUUUCCGUAUGCAGCAACAAAAAUAAGAACUGUUCGCCUUUUUUUAUUCAUAAAGUACUCGUACAAAAAGAUCAAUUUCACAUAAUGUACGGCCAGAAUACUACAGUAGACGCUUACGUGUUUUAAAUUGAGGAGCAGUGCAGGGCUGAUCUGCUUUUACUGUACAAUACAACCUCCUCCAGGGCGUAGCAACAAAACCGCUCAGCUCUGUGCAACAUUUGACUACUCAAGCCAUUACCAUGUCGAGUGUCCGUACUCAACCUUUUGCUUGAAGCGGACAUUUGAACUUUCAUUGCUGUAUGGAA